rnacentral:rRNA from 1 species
AGAGUUUGAUCCUGGCUCAGGAUGAACGCUAGCGACAGGCCUAACACAUGCAAGUCGAGGGGUAACAGGGAAGCUUGCUUCCGCUGACGACCGGCGCACGGGUGCGUAACGCGUAUGAAACCUACCUUAUACUGGGGGAUAGCCCGAAGAAAUUCGGAUUAAUACCCCAUAACAUGAUUGAUUGGCAUCAAUUAAUUAUUAAAACUCCGGUGGUAUAAGAUGGUCAUGCGUGACAUUAGAUUGUUGGUGAGGUAACGGCUCACCAAGUCUACGAUGUCUAGGGGUUCUGAGAGGAAGGUCCCCCACACUGGUACUGAGACACGGACCAGACUCCUACGGGAGGCAGCAGUGAGGAAUAUUGGUCAAUGGACGCAAGUCUGAACCAGCCAUGUCGCGUGAAGGAAGAAGGUUCUAUGGAUUGUAAACUUCUUUUAUACAGGAAGAAUGGUCACUACGUGUAGUGAUUCGACGGUACUGUAUGAAUAAGCACCGGCUAACUCCGUGCCAGCAGCCGCGGUAAUACGGAGGGUGCAAGCGUUAUCCGGAUUCAUUGGGUUUAAAGGGUGCGUAGGCGGAAUAAUAAGUCAGAGGUGAAAGUUUGCGGCUCAACCGUAAAAUUGCCUUUGAAACUAUUAUUCUUGAGUACAUUUGAGGUAGGCGGAAUGUAGUGUGUAGCGGUGAAAUGCUUAGAUAUACUACAGAACACCAAUUGCGAAGGCAGCUUACUAAACUGUUACUGACGCUGAUGCACGAAAGCGUGGGGAUCGAACAGGAUUAGAUACCCUGGUAGUCCACGCCGUAAACGAUGAUUACUAGUUGUUUGCAAUACAUAGUAAGCGACAAAGCGAAAGCAUUAAGUAAUCCACCUGGGGAGUACGUUCGCAAGAAUGAAACUCAAAGGAAUUGACGGGGGCCCGCACAAGCGGAGGAACAUGUGGUUUAAUUCGAUGAUACGCGAGGAACCUUACCU